rnacentral:misc_RNA from 1 species
UACAGAGGGCGCGAGCGUUAAUCGGAUUUACUGGGCGUAAAGCGUGCGUAGGCAGCUUUUUAAGUCGGAUGUGAAAUCCCCGAGCUUAACCUUGGAAUUGCAUUUUGAACUGGGAAGGUAGAGUAUGGGAGAGGAUGGUAGAAUUCCAGGUGUAGCGGUGAAAUGCGUAGAGAUCUGGAGGAAUACCGAUGGCGAAGGCAGCCAUCUGGCCUAAUACUGACGCUGAGGUACGAAAGCAUGGGGAGCAAACAGG